rnacentral:rRNA from 1 species
AUCAGGUAGGGCUACCCGCUGA